rnacentral:sRNA from 1 species
ACUUUAAAAGUGUACACUUGCAAUAUAAAAUUCAUGCUAAAAUCAAUAAAUUAAAUUCAUACCCAUAACAAACUAGUUCAUUUUCACACAUUUAGCAUGAAUAUUGAGAGCCUAGUGCAAUUUCUGUUUUUUCUCUAGUGCAAAUGAAGCACCAACUUCUUUUUCAUUUUAUUUAAUUAUACAUGUUAUUAAUCAGUUUAAUUAAACAUGUGGGGUUCAAUUCGUGAUACUAUUUCAAGCCUUGCCAACUGCCAAGAGGAACACUAGUGUUACCUCUAGUGAUGUAACUUUGAGAGCUUAAGGUAAUGAAAUAUGAUUAGGAAAGUUUCAGGUUCAAUUCUCUCUCAUGUAACAUAAAGAAAAACAGAAUUGACGAAAAAUUAUUUUCGACUACUUUUUUUACAUGAUCUCUGGUUUAUCCUCUAAUGCAAUAUCGCACUCUUGUAGAUAUAAUACAUCCAUUACCUCACACAGCCACAUGCCAAAUUAUUUCAGUCAUUAAACUCCUAAACCUAAAGUCUGACACUAUCAACAUGAUUUUUAUAUAUCCAUCGACAUGUUGGUGUGACCGGGCAAGUUGUUGAGUUUUUAUUGUCCAACUGUCCAGUUCUUGAGCUAGUUUGAUAUUGCUGUGUUUUUAAAAAAAAAAAAUUUCUAUUAUGUUGUGAGAAUAAACAAUUAUAAAAUAAAAUUGUGAAGUGUUUGUAAACUUUUUUUUUUGUAAAAGUGCUUUUAAUAAUAAAAAAAAAGCAGUUUUUGAGUGUUUGGUAAACUUUUAUAAAAAUUGUUUUAAAUAUGUUAAAUGACUAAAAAUGAUAUAGUAUUUAACGUGAUAAAAUAAUUGUCCAAGACAAUAAUGUAGGGGCAAAGAUUGUAAUUUUGUAAAAUAUGUGGGGUUAUACAUUUCAUUUAAAAGUUUUAUUAAAUGAGCAUUGAUUACUAUGUUUUUUAUUUUUUUUUUAAAAGAGCCCUUUUUGUUAGGAGUAUGGUAUACCCUACUUCUGCUUUUUUAUGCUUGUCUACUUUUAUUGACAACAGUUUAAAAAAAAACUUUUUUUUUUGUUUUACCAAACACAUUUAAUGUUUCAGAUUUUUUAAUAAGUUGUUUUUUUUCAAAGCAUCACAAUCCCAAACCAAUGGAAACAAGUGAGGUAUAAGAUACGUUAGUUAUGUAGUUCAUGUUGUGAAUAAUGUGUUUAAGAAUGGAAAAAACAUAACAAACU